UAAGACUCAAUGCUAAUAUUUUCGGAAUUCAUUUAAAUUUGAGAGUGUGUCAACUAUGUUUUUAUAGUUUGGAGAAAAUGCCUAAAUUUUGUGCUGUUGUGGGUUGCGCGAAUCGAAGCACCAGAAAUGCGGACAAAUUUUAUUUUCCUUUCCCAGCAAUUAGCAACAAUAAAGGUAAAUAUAUACAGGAUGGGGAAAAAAGGCGGAAGUUUUGCUUAAAAGCCUUGAAACGAGUACAGUAACUACCUAUUAGAUUUACAGUUUCUAAUAAAUUACUACAUUGGUGCUCUUUUAGGUAAACCUGCAGAUUUGUCGGAUGUGGAUCACCCUGAUUAUGUUCCAUCACAAAAUUUAGGAUAUCAAAAUAAAUCCACUCAUAAUACUUGUAAUGUUAAAAGACACAGUCGUUUAAAAAAGAGAAAACUGAAUAAAUGCCUCUAGACUUUUGAA